rnacentral:piRNA from 1 species
CUACAUGGAUAAGCAGUUGCGUGAUAUGCA